GAUGAAGAACGCAGCGAAAUGCGAUAAGUAGUGUGAAUUGCAGAAUUCAGUGAAUCAUCGAAUCUUUGAACGCACAUUGCGCCCCUCGGUAUUCCGUGGGGCAUGCCUGUUCGAGCGUCAUUUAACCCCUCAAGCCUAGCUUGGUAUUGGGUUCUUGUCCCGCCUCUCGCGCGGCGACUCACCUCAAAGUCAUUGGCAGCCCGCAUCUCGCCGGCCGUGAGCGCAGCACAGACGCGCUCUUGGCAACGACGGAUCGGCUCUCCAAAAGCUUAUUUCAACCACUGACCUCGGAUCAGGUAGGGAUACCCGCUGAACUUAAGCAUAUCAAUAAGCGGAGGA
rnacentral:misc_RNA from 1 species